rnacentral:lncRNA from 1 species
AGCAAAGUGCUUCAACGCAUGAAGGCUUGCUUUUUGCAAUGCCUUCUGCCUUUGUUAUAUAGAACGAAAAAAAAUUUAAUUUACACAUGUUUCUUGCUUUCUGAAACUAAAACCAAAAAAGUCAAAAAUGGUGGCCUUCUAACCUACCCUACUCUAAAGUCAUAAAUGUAAGUAAGAAAAGUAAGAAAAGCAAUUAAUGAUUUACAUUAUUGUACCGUAAGAAAAUUUUGUACAAUAAGUCAAAAUAUCUUCCGUUGUCGUAUCUGCUCCAUUAUUGUUCUUUAUCUGCUCCAUUAUUGCUUUUUAUCUUAUCUUUCCAGCU